UUUUCCAAUGCAUGGCAUUUUCAAAUUUCCAGACCUUCGUCCUGGACGACACCUAUUACAGGACCUAGCUCCCUGUUGUAUUUAUGAAAGUUUUUUUUUCCCUGAACUUGCAUUAAUAUUUGACACUGGAUGUUCAAAAAUCAUACAACUAGCUUCCAGUAAUUUUGAGUACUCUCAGAUCUGCGUGUAAUGACCACAAUUAUUCAAAUUCCUAAGCAGGUAGGGAUUUUACAGUAGAGGAUAUAAAGAAAUACGAAUUUCUUAAAUUUUGUAACGAUAGUAUGAACAGAACAUAACUUUUGCAUAAGGCAUCGACUAUGUGUGUAUGUGUUUGUGUGGCUAGGGUGGAGGUUUAAGAAUCAAAAGAUUGACGGUUUUUGUCUAGCCAAAAGGAUAGUUUUAUU
rnacentral:lncRNA from 1 species